rnacentral:rRNA from 1 species
AGUGAGGAAUAUUGGUCAAUGGACGAGAGUCUGAACCAGCCAAGUCGCGUGAAGGAAGACGGUUCUAUGAAUUGUAAACUUCUUUUGUGCAGGAAUAAAGUGGGUUACGUGUAACCUUUUGUAUGUACUGUACGAAUAAGGAUCGGCUAACUCCGUGCCAGCAGCCGCGGUAAUACGGAGGAUCCGAGCGUUAUCCGGAUUUAUUGGGUUUAAAGGGUGCGUAGGUGGAUUGAUAAGUCAGCGGUGAAAGUUUGCAGCUUAACUGUAAAAUUGCCGUUGAAACUGUCGGUCUUGAGUGCAAAUGAGGUAGGCGGAAUGUGUUGUGUAGCGGUGAAAUGCUUAGAUAUAACACAGAACUCCGAUUGCGAAGGCAGCUUACUGGGAUGCAACUGACACUGAUGCACGAAAGCGUGGGUAUCAAACAGGAUUAGAUACCCUGGUAGUCCACGCAGUAAACGAUGAAUACUAGCUGUAUGCGAUAUACCGUAUGUGGCACAGCGAAAGCGUUAAGUAUUCCACCUGGGGAGUACGUUCGCAAGAAUGAAACUCAAAGGAAUUGACGGGGGCCCGCACAAGCGGAGGAACAUGUGGUUUAAUUCGAUGAUACGCGAGGAACCUUACCCGGGCUUGAAAUGCAGAAGACCGAAGUGGAAACACUUCUUCCAGCAAUGGCUUCUGUGUAGGUGCUGCAUGGUUGUCGUCAGCUCGUGCCGUGAGGUGUCGGCUUAAGUGCCAUAACGAGCGCAACCCUUGCCAAUAGUUACUAUCAGGUUAUGCUGAGGACUCUAUUGGGACUGCCAUCGUAAGAUGCGAGGAAGGUGGGGAUGACGUCAAAUCAGCACGGCCCUUACGUCUGGGGCGACACACGUGUUACAAUGGGGGGUACAGAGGGUUGCUACCUGGUGACAGGAUGCUAAUCUCAUAAAUCCUCUCUCAGUUCGGAUCGAAGUCUGCAACUCGACUUCGUGAAGCUGGAUUCGCUAGUAAUCGCGCAUCAGCCAUGGCGCGGUGAAUACGUUCCCGGGCCUUGUACACACCGCCCGUCAAGCCAUGGAAGCCGAGGGUACCUGAAGUACGUGACUGCAAAGAGCGUCCUAGGGUAAAAUUGGUGACUGGGGCU